rnacentral:rRNA from 1 species
UACGGGGGGGGGCAAGCGUUGUUCGGAAUUACUGGGCGUAAAGAGCGUGUAGGCGGCCCGGUAAGUCCGCUGUAAAAAGUCAAAGGCUCAACCUUUGAAUGUCAGUGGAUACUGCCGGGCUAGAGUCCGGAAGAGGCGAGUGGAACUCCUGGUGUAGCGGUGGAAUGCGCAGAUAUCAGGAAGAACACCAACGGCGAAGGCAGCUCGCUAGGACGGUACUGACGCUGAGACGCGAAAGCGUGGGGAGCGAACAGG